UGGCCGUGUGACCCUGCUUUUGGCAGAGCA
rnacentral:sRNA from 1 species